rnacentral:rRNA from 1 species
AAGGUAUUGAAAUAAGAUUUUAAAUGGAGUGCUAAGAGAAUGAUUAAACAAUUAAAAGCUUUCUUUAAUUAAAUAAUUGAAUUUAAUUUUUUAGUGCAAAAGCAAAAAUAAAAAUUAGGGACAAGAAGACCCUAUGAAUUUUUUAUUAAAUUUUAUAUAAAGUUUUAUAAAAUUUAAUUUAAUUGGGGUGAUGGAAAAAGAAUAAAUAUCUUUUUUUUAAAGAAAAUUGGUUCCGUUUUUAGCGAUUAAAUGAAAAAAAUACUCUAGGGAUAACAGCGUAAAA